CGAAUGCUGACGUGAGUAACGACAAAACGGGUGAAAAACCCGUUCGCCGAAAGACCAAGGGUUCCAGUCCAACGUUAAUCGGGGCUGGGUGAGUCGACCCCUAAGGCGAGGCCGAAAGGCGUAGUCGAUGGGAAAAUGGUUAAUAUUCCAUUACUUCUGUGUAAUGCGAUGAGAGGACGGAGAAGGCUAAAUCAGCCUGGCGUUGGUUGUCCAGGUGAAAGGAUGUAGGCAUGUAUCUUAGGCAAAUCCGGGGUACUCUAUGCUGAGAUCUGAUAGCAAGCUGUACUUGUACAGCGAAGUGGUUGAUGCCAUGCUUCCAGGAAAAGUCUCUAAGCUUC
rnacentral:rRNA from 1 species